ACACAGUCAAGAAUUGUGAUAAAUGUUGAUCUGGAUUGGCUCUUGGUAAACCUCUAAAAGUAGGUAAUGGAGCCACGCUAGUUGUGCGAUCUCCCGCCGCACCCAUUUGGAUUGUAAUUGGAACUGCUGGUCCUCCGGAUGCCAUUAAAGAUGCCAGUGUUUUGCUCAAUUCUUUAUUAAAAUAAAAAUUGUCUCCUACAAAAGUUUUUUUUGGACUUCCACGCCUUUCC
rnacentral:lncRNA from 1 species